rnacentral:rRNA from 1 species
GACAGAGGAUGCAAGUGUUAUUCGGAAUGAUUGGGCGUAAAGAGUCUGUAGGCGGUUUAGAAAGUCUUUUGUGAAAUACUUCAGCUCAACUGAGGCUCCGCAAAAGAAACUUCUAGACUUGAGGAAAGUAGAGGUACAGGGAAUUUCCGGUGGAGCGGUGAAAUGCGUAGAUAUCGGAAGGAACACCAAUAUGGCGAAGGCACUGUACUGGGCUUUUCCUGACGCUCAGAGACGAAAGCUGAAGGAGUGAUUAGGAUUAGAUACCCUAGUAAUUUCAGCCGUAAACGAUGAAAACUCACUGUCGAGCCAAUAUAUGGAGCGGUGGUCAAGCUAACGCGUGAAGUUUUCCG